rnacentral:misc_RNA from 1 species
UUAUUUCGGCCCAACGCACGAAACUCGGUGGACGGUAAACAUGGUGUGUUAUACGAGAAUAGCAGCCUAUAAAGCGAAUCGUGUGCGGUUCGCAGCGUCGCCCUACCACGGUCCACGUCUUCCCUCCGAAGUAGUGAUACAAGUGUAGAUGUAAAUGCCUUAAUUACAAAUACGGGGCUAAUCACCCGAAAUUUGAAAAUUCCAAGUCACCACGGUCCUACAGUUUCCGACCAAUGCAAGCUGUCGGCACUUUCGUUUCAUAUUAAUCGAAACAGGGCUACGCGUUGACACUGCACUCACGACACGGUCGACGGAUAUGGAUAUGACAUGGAUACGGGAAGAUUGGGUUACGGAACUUUGUUAUCAAAAGAAGACCUCUAAGUUUCAGCGCGCUCGUCGUCCGUGAUAUCAAAGGACAAAAUCAGCCGCCUUUGCAGCCUCGCCAAUCGCCGAACAACGGUCAAACGAUCAACCACCGCUUGAUUGACCGAUGUACCCCCGCAUGCCUACGUACGUACGUACAUAGGCAGAUGUGCACGUAUAAUGUUCACCGUACGUUUAUCACUGUGUUUUUAUGGGUUCAGCUCAUCGUCCACGCCUAUCACGGCUAUCACCUGAAACCUGAAACGAUCGACAUCUCUCUACCCUGCGUAGAUUGACAAUUGAAUGUCGUGAUCACGUGAUAGAUUCCAGAAAAAUUCCCGGUAAUCGUGAUUGAAAUGGAGGAGUUUUACCUUAUAAACGUCACAUGAUAGACAUUGGUAUUAACAAGCCUCCGCGGCGUCUCAUACUCUGGAGUAUUUCGAAAUUCGACAUCGGCUUACGAUCUGACCGGCGUGUUGGAUUUUCGGGGACAUGCGGAUCCUAACGAAGCACAAGGAGCUAAUUGAACGCGAUGCCAACGACAUUUCAAUACUAUGGAAAUUACUACAAAUGUUGUUCUACUGUGUUAGCGCAAUAGCCGGCUACGUCACCGCACACGCAUUUUUUAUGUUUCAGGUAUAAUUCAGCUCUGAUCUCGUCAAUGGGACAACCUUGGCAAGACAGGCUGACAGUCAGUUACAACACUCAACAUCAUUGCUCUACGAUACAGAUAAUAUCGAUUCUUUCGUGUAUCUGUGGUAUUGUUGGCUUUUCUUUCUUUUCCAUAUGUGGGCGCGGAGGUUACCAAGUUGGAAUAUACUACAGUCCCUGGAGACUGGUUGGACCGGCUAUACUUUUCAACUUAUGUCUGACGUUGCUAACUUGGCGGUCGGCCUGCAAUUUCCAAGAGGGAUUCCAUCAUUUUCAAUACCGUCUCAAUGGGAUGCUAAAUCAAUCUGGGAAUGAACCCAUCACGGAAUACCUGCCGACAGGCAAAAAAAACACCUACAAUAGACUUGUGUGGAAAUAUUAUGGAAUCACAAAGGUAUGGCACGAUGACAAUUCUAUCACACUCCAAAUUGACAUCCUUACGUGACGCUGAUUUUAUCCAAAGAAUUUAUUUAAACAAAAUUUAUGGGUAAUAUCGGCCAUCCUUGAGUAUGAUUCUCGAUUACAAAUUUUGCGAGAUUACUAGUUUAAAAUAUUGAAACUUGCGCUUCGUCUCACCGCAAUACAAAAGAUCUCAUCUUGGGUGGAAGUUGCUGCCUGGGUCAUGGGACUUACACUUCUGGUACUACGAGUUGUAAAUGUCACCGACUUCAGGUUGAUGAAAACCUCUGUAUAUGCCCUCGAAACAGAAGACGAAGAACAUCGAGAUGAAUCUCUUCGCUACAGAUUCGAAGAAUCAUGAACUUUGGUAGUGCGCGUUAAAACUUUAACCGGUGUUUCUAGCACUCCUCGGUUUAAUCCAUUCUUACAACAAAUAAAUCCUAUUCUUUGCAUA